UGGAGAUGGAGCACACAAAAGUGACAAAGGUGGUGCAACUUCAGCAUUAGGAUUAGAAGAAAAGGAGGAUGUCAAAUCACCCUUGGAUUCUGAGAAUACCUCCAAGAUUGAACUACCGAACCAUGUUGAUCAUUCAUCUGGAGCUGCAGGUCUAAGAGAAAAAAAUAUAUUAAAUGGACAAAUAGAAAUGGAUCAAGAAACUUUGAUGGCUAGAGGAUCCAAGAAAUGUAGGCAUACCAAUAGCCCAUGUGGAUUCUACUGAAAGAUAUCCUCACCUGAAGCCUGCAGUUGGAGUGAAAGAUUCUGUUCCUAAUAAAACAGGAGAAAUGAAGAAUUUACAAAGAUUGAAAUCAGAUCCUUCAGACUGGGAUUCUACUAGUUUGAGCCUCAAUAAUGAGGCUGGUCAAAGAGCCGAGCAUUUGAAAGUUGAUAAAUGUUCUUUGGUAUCACAAUCAGUGACCACAAACCAGUCAGCACCCACAGAACUGAGGCAGACGGCCCUAGUAGAUAAAGACCGGAUGACUAUUGAAGCCAUGUCUCUGUCAGAAAAUGCAGCGCUCCGUGGCGUGUGUGAAUCACAGCUGCCAGAGAACAGAAGCAGCAAAGAAGG